UGAGUUAAAGUCCGCUGGAUUGGGUGUUUAGUUGUUAAUUAAAAUUUUACGGGAUCGAGGCCCGUUAGCUCAG
rnacentral:tRNA from 2 species